rnacentral:rRNA from 1 species
UGGAUGCGGGCAGCUACCAUGCAGUCGAGCGGUAACAGAUCCAGCUUGCUGGAUGCUGACGAGCGGCGGACGGGUGAGUAAUGCAUAGGAAUCUGCCCGAUAGUGGGGGAUAACCUGGGGAAACCCAGGCUAAUACCGCAUACGUCCUACGGGAGAAAGGGGGCUUCGGCUCCCGCUAUCGGAUGAGCCUAUGUCGGAUUAGCUAGUUGGUGAGGUAACGGCUCACCAAGGCGACGAUCCGUAGCUGGUCUGAGAGGAUGAUCAGCCACAUCGGGACUGAGACACGGCCCGAACUCCUACGGGAGGCAGCAGUGGGGAAUAUUGGACAAUGGGGGGAACCCUGAUCCAGCCAUGCCGCGUGUGUGAAGAAGGCCCUCGGGUUGUAAAGCACUUUCAGCGAGGAAGAACGCCUAGCGGUUAAUACCCGCUAGGAAAGACAUCACUCGCAGAAGAAGCACCGGCUAACUCCGUGCCAGCAGCCGCGGUAAUACGGAGGGUGCAAGCGUUAAUCGGAAUUACUGGGCGUAAAGCGCGCGUAGGUGGCUUGAUAAGCCGGUUGUGAAAGCCCCGGGCUCAACCUGGGAACGGCAUCCGGAACUGUCAAGCUAGAGUGCAGGAGAGGAAGGUAGAAUUCCCGGUGUAGCGGUGAAAUGCGUAGAGAUCGGGAGGAAUACCAGUGGCGAAGGCGGCCUUCUGGACUGACACUGACACUGAGGUGCGAAAGCGUGGGUAGCAAACAGGAUUAGAUACCCUUGGUUAGUCAA